rnacentral:misc_RNA from 1 species
AACGCAUAUUGCGCCCUCUGGUAUUCCGGGGGGCAUGCCUGUCCGAGCGUCAUUACUACCUUCAAGCACGGCUUGUGUGUUGAGCAUUUUGUUCCAUUUUCAGUGAACAAGGCUUGAAAUGCAGUGGCGAUGCCUUAAAUUGGUUGCCUGAACGUAUAGGGCUAUGUCACACGUUCUUGUGGCUCCAGUUGUGCAUCUUGUUCCAACUUCUAAAAAAUCUCGAAUUGACCUCGGAUCAGGUAGGAAUACCCGCUGAACUUAA